UACGGGGGGGGCAAGCGUUGUUCGGAAUUACUGGGCGUAAAGGGCUCGUAGGCGGCCAACUAAGUCGGACGUGAAAUCCCCAGGCUCAACCUGGGAACUGCGUCCGAUACUGGAUGGCUUGAAUCCGGGAGAGGGAUGUGGAAUUCCAGGUGUAGCGGUGAAAUGCGUAGAUAUCGGGAGGAACACCAGUGGCGAAGGCGAGUCUCUGGGCUGAUACUGACGCUGAUGCGCGAAAGCUAGGGGAGCAAACGGG
rnacentral:rRNA from 1 species